rnacentral:lncRNA from 1 species
UUUAUUUCUAUAGCUGUAGAAUUGAAGUUCUCUCAAUUUUGAUAUUUGUUUAGCAGAAAGUGAAUGAAGUAAAAUUUAUUUUUAUUUUUAUUUUUUUUUAUAGUAAUUGACUUCAAUCUGGAAUGGACUGAAAUUAAUUACGGAAUUUUAGUGAGUUUGAGUUUCAACUGAAAGUAACGUUGUGGUAAAUAAAAUAACAUAAAUAGAUAUUUACGAUCGAAAAUUAGUUCACUUCUCUCCACUUUUGAUAAAACAAACACACCCUUAUCUGAAAGUUGCUACUAUUCAUGAUUCACCGGUUCACUUAGAAUCUUGAAAUAAAAGGAAUGGUGAUUAUUUUUAUCUUUCCCUCUUAAAGAAUAGAUAUUGCCAAAGUAGUCAGAGCAAAAUAAUUCAAAUCAUCAGGAGAUACAAUAUAUUUAUUCUACUAAUAGCCAAACUUACUAUAACAAUAUCAAUUCGCUCUCAACAAUACUCAUAAUUACCGACCGUCCCUAGAGCAAGUGGUAAAGGGCUUGGUGAUUGGUACUCGAAAUCCAAAUUCGAAUCCUAGUUGAUUCACAUUUCUAGCUAAGUUUAUUUCUGAAUGAAAUAAACGAAGCAGAUAGCAUGCUACCUAUCUCUCAAAAAAAAAAACAAAAAAACAAUACUCAUAAUUAUAAAUAAUAAUAAUAAUAAUAAUAAUAAUUAGAAUAAUGCUACUAGCACACUUAUAAAUAUGAUAUAAAUCUCACAUCCUAUAUAU